GAAUCGCUAGUAAUCGUGGAUCAGCAUGCCACGGUGAAUACGUUCCCGGGCCUUGUACACACCGCCCGUCACACCAUGAGAGUUUGUAACACCCAAAGCCGGUGAGGUAACCUUCGGGAACCAACCGUCUAAGGUGGGACAGAUGAUUAGGGUGAAGUCGUAACAAGGUAGCCGUAGGAGAACCUGCGGCUGGAUCACCUCCUUUC
rnacentral:rRNA from 2 species